UACGAAGGGGGCUAGCGUUGUUCGGAAUUACUGGGCGUAAAGCGCGCGCAGGCGGCUAUCCAAGUCAGUGGUGAAAGUCCAGGGCUCAACCCUGGAAUGCCAGUGGAAACUGUCGAGCUAGAGUCCGGAAGAGGCGAGUGGAAUUCCUGGUGUAGCGGUGAAAUGCGCAGAUAUCAGGAGGAACACCGGUGGCGAAGGCGGUUCUCUGGGCAUGUCCUGACGCUGAGGAGCGAAAGUGUGGGGAGCGAACAGG
rnacentral:rRNA from 1 species